GCCGGUGUAGCUUAGUUGGUCUAUAGCGGCCGGUUCAUACCCGGCAGGUCAUUGGUUCAAAUCCGAUCACCGGUACCA
rnacentral:tRNA from 1 species